GGAGACGGCACCAGUGGCCCCUCUUCACACUGUGAGAGAAGGAGACAUGGAAGGAAAGCUGGGAUCGUCACAGUGCUAUUGCCUCUUGAAGUCAAAUUGUGUCGUCCUCUUCAGAGCCGUGUGACGCAGAGUUUAUUAUGGAGGACUUGAAGCCCGAGGGCUGGCGGCAGCUACUUCAGCCCCAUGGUGCAGCUGGCAAAAACAGCACAAGUCUCCUUCGCAGGUCCUCAUCAUGGAGGAGGCCUGGGGAGCGGGGUUAUUACGAGGGCCCCGCGGCGCAGGUGAAUGAGCCCCCUCGCAGAGCUCGUCCACUGAGCUGCAUAGAGGGUGGCAGGAUGGACAAAUGGCUUCAGACACUAGAGAGACUCCAAUCACGUCGGCUUCAGAAUCAAAUACCUCCGUUUGUGGACAGGACGAUAUCAAUGCCAGUUCCCUCGAAUGAGACAGCGGGAAGUAACCCACUGUGUCCUGAUGUUUCCUCUCUGCGCAGGAGGAAUCAGACCCCUAGCGUCUGUCCCAGAGUGAGUGAAAGCUCCUCGAGCAGUCUGGAGUCUGUUCACAUUAAAGCUGCUCCCGCUGCAGAAAGAGCUCAGUUCUGCGCUCUCGCUCCAGUUCACUUCGGCUGGCUGCCCAUACAAAGACAUGUGAUACUGACAGACAUCUGUCAUAACCACCAUGACAACAGUAGGUGCCAGAAACUGAAGUCUCCCAUCACUCCAGUGUUGCUCAGCACUCCUGCCAAACUUAAUGGACCAAGACCAAAUGACAGGGAGACUUCGAGGCCUGAACCUGUAGGCUUUAGAUACUGGAAAACACCUGAAAAAACACCAUCCGUCCUCCAUCAGGCUUCGGGAUCCGUGAGCACUGAGGGAGGACGAAAUGGACCACAAGCCUGGAAUCCGAAAGCCGAGAUAGACACAUGCCACGCUGGACCACAUCCCAUGUUGAGAAAUCCCACAUGCAGGCGUGGAAGUGCGCCGGAGUCCUUCAGCUCCUCGAUAUCAUCCAUCACUAUCACUUCCAGGAAGGUCACGCACACAAACUCCAGGCCUCUGAGUCCAGCGAUGAAUAGCCUCGCCGAUGGACACAGAAAAGCUUUAGUGGUCAAAGUCACUGAACAGAGGACGAAAAGCACUUCCAGUCUGCCCAUCGCCUCGACCUCUGGCUCUGAUCAUGAAGAGAUGGACCAUGGUGUGGUCCUGAGAAGAAAGGCAACCAUUGUGAAAAUGACCGAACAGAGAGAGCGUUUCAGUCCAGUGAAAUACAGACACAGCUACACUGAAGGACUCCAUAAUGAAUCUAAAGUCAGUCCCUCACCAUUAAACCAACCGUUAACUAUAUCUCUAGAGCCAGGAGGAAACCAGUGGAGGUCCCAGCACAGAUCUAGCCUAUCUCUCUACCUCAACAACCCAAACGAUAGCAGCGCAGUAGGGGAGAGCAACACCAAAACACACAAGCCACCUCGAAGGCCUCUCAGCUGCGACGCAAGCCUGUUUAACCACACAGAACUUGGCAGUAAUGCAGUUAUACAGCCAGCGUUUCACAACAAGAGCUCUCCUGUUCCCCAGAAGACAAAUAUUGACCUUGUUAGUUCCAGCAGCAGCGAAGCAAGAAGGCGCUGGGCCUCCGGUGGCGAGGAUGGGAGCAAGAGGAAAGAGUGGGAUCGUGAGGAACCUAUUUCAGGAAUCAAUCCUCUCACGCUACUAAAAGCAGCAGAUAACUCGGCUGAUCUGAGCGCAGACGCCGUCCUGGCCCUGAACGCCGCUGCGGUUAUUGCCAACAUAAAGCUGCAGGCCCAGCAGAGACGAACUACAUCCCACACAGCAACAGCAGUGUGUUUAACAAAGGAUAGAGGGCAAAAUGAACACAGAGAGCUCAAAGAAGAGGCUGCUGGUGCUGAUGGAAGGAACAAAACAUGUCCAGCAGAUCAAUGUGUGGAUUUUGUCCCAUUCGAGUCCCAAAAUGACCUUUCUGAAACUGCUUUGGCUCCACUGUCACUUAGUGAGGCUUUAGUGAUCAGACGGCCCGAUUUCAUCCAGCGCUCACAGGCCAGGGUUCGAGCGCUCGAGAGGAGGUCGCAGGAGAGGCAGAACUCCCACAGCUCACCGCAGACAGUCGAGAGCGGAGGAAGCCUUGUGAAAUCCAAAGACAGAAGCAUCAUGGGAAAGAGUCUACAGCUGCGGUCCAGGAGGAGUUAUAACCAGCUGCCUGAGGUGAAGAAGAGGAGAGAGGAAGAAAAGAGGAGAAUAGAAGAGGAGAAAAGAAAACUGGCAUCUCGGACCAACAGGCUGCGGGCAGAGCUCUUUAAAAAGAAACUUCUGGAGCAGAUUUUGCAGAGGGGAGGAAAUCACUGACAUCGCCUUGGACUCGUGUUUCUCCUCACUCCACAGUUCUCAUGCCGGCCCUUGAAAAAUAUGACAUGACAUUAGUUAGAAAUGUUAUGGAAUAGUUCCUUCCAGAACGAAUGUGCCUCAAACAUGGACUGCAGCCUCAUUUCUGUGGCUCUGGAUUACAUCUUCUCUCUCUUUACAUACAUUACUGGUUAAACAUUUUGAAUAAUUAUGGUUUUAAUGUUACAGCUAGGCUUAUGUUCAGCUAUGCUGCAUUUAUUUGCUCAAAAAUACAGUAAAAACUGUAACAAAUUUGAAAUAUUAUCACAAUUUAAAACAACUGUUUCCAAUUUGAAUAUAUUUUAACAUGUAAUUUAUUCCUGUGAUGCGCAGCUGUGUUUUCAGCAUCAUUACUCCAGUCUUCAGUGUCACAUGAUCUUCAGAAAUCAUUCUAAUAUUCUGAUUUGCUGCUCAAGAAAAAUGUAUGAUUAUUAUCCAUGUUGAAAACAGUGUUUGCUGCUUCAUAUUUUAUAGAAACGUUGCAUUUUUCAGUCCUACAGAUUCUCAACAGUAUCACAUGGCAAACACAGGACAUCAGGAGAGUCUUUUGGCUUCUCAGAGAUGCUACAGUUGCCAUAUAGACAGAUUGUUUGCCCUUUCUGUGCCUCUAUCCCUGUCAUAUUAUAUUAUGUAAGAGACACAACAUAAAAGAGCACAUUACGGCUCCGGUCCUCAUCGCUAAAAGCCUAAAAUCCAACAUUUGAAGACAUUCUUAUAACAUGAAGGGCCUGAUCCCGCUCUCAUGCAGUCGUAGGUUCUGCGGGCUCAUUAUGACAUCACUAGCCUUCCUCUGUCCGUGUCUCUCCGAGCCAUUAGCCGGGAGCAAAAGGAAUUUGACCUCGUCUGAAUAAGAAUGCAUCACUAAUGGAGCCGAGUGCUUGCACGGGGUGAAAGAGGCUUUUGUCCUCUCUCUGAAUGAGCCGAGACUGUCCCACAUGUGCCUGCUUAGACGGGACACGACUGCGCAAUAGUCGAGUUAUAAACUGAAGCCUUGCAGUAAAACUUGACUUGAUAGACUUUAUAUUAUGUCCUAUCACUUUGUUUGGUAUCUUAACUAUCACAUUUCAAAAUCAAAAGAUUGGGCCAGAAGAUGUGAAGUGGAGUAAUGUAGCUUCCUUUGUGUGUAAAAAGAUGCAUUUUAGACCAGACAUUACACAAGUACAGAAAUGUAAGUGCAAAUGCUCAGCCUUUGGACAAAUUAUCCCUGUAAGUCCCUAUAAGGAAAGUCAUUUCACUCAGUGGCCGUCUUUGUAACACUAUUUCUGACAUGCAAGUAACAGCUUUUAUUUCUUUGAAUGGGGAAACAUCAAAUUCGUCUAAGCAAUGCAGCAAUAAAAUUGUCUGUUUAUGUCAUAUUUGCAUUUACAGGUUACUCAAGGGUGCGCUAGAAUUUUAGAAGAUGUUAUUCAGGUAAAUAGGCAUAAAUAUGACAUAUGUUUUAUGCCUGAGAUUCACAAACUUUUUUUUUCUUAACUGAAUCUGUUUAAUCAAAAACAUUAGAAAUAGUAAAUCUUUAAUUGCUUGAAGUCCUUGAUAUUUUAAUAAUUUAACAACCCAGUUCUCUAAUGACAGACAGUUAUGGAACUAAACAAAUAGCCUACAAUAUUUAAUCUUUUAUUGUAUCUGUUUUAUUUUGUUUGUUUUUUUAUUAUUUAUUAUGUUUUAUUAAUUUACAUUUUAAUUAACAAUAACUAUUAACUUUUCAUAAACUCAAAAAUCCCUGCAUUUUGGGAAACCCCUUUUAACUUGACACACCAUCUUAGAAAGCAAACAUUUGUGCCAAUGUUAUUUUACAGUUUCUACUAUAAUAUUCUGAAUUAGUUUUUAUUGUGAAAUUUCUGUUUACAAUUUAAUUUUAGGUAAAGUUUUUAUAAUUUUUACUGUGUUUUUGACAUUAUUUUUUAAUACGACUAUUUUUAUUCAUUUUAAUUUCAGUUUUAGUUAUUUAAACCAAAUAAUUUUUUAUAUUAAAAUGAUUCACAGGUUAAAUAUGCAUUCCCUAGUACAUAAGAUGCAAUGCAGUGGCCAAAAGAAAUCCAUCUGAUGUAUAGGUAGAAAACAUUGCAGACAAAACGCAAGAACGUUUCCUGCUUGAACAGCCCCCUAGAGUUUCCAUUUAUAUGCCAGUGUUGACAUUUCAGUUUUGUGCUUCAAAAAAAAAAAAAACGCAUGUUUUAUGCCUUCUUAUAUUCCUGUUAAACUUUUAGCACAAAUCUCAGAGCAGAUUUUGUCUUCGAGGCCAACUACAUUUAGUCUUUUCCUAAUGUCUUGCCGAAUAUUGAUGUGUUUUUGCAGCAGGGCUUUUCUCAGUAUUCUGGGCUUUGAGUUUGAUGCUAAUAAAAAUGACAGAAUCCUAAAAGCACAGUCCUAAAUAACAGGAAAUCAAAUACAUUUCGGCUAGAUGGAUGGAUGAAUAUUGCUCUUGAGAAACUUCUUCUGGCCUCGGAUGAAGAGCCGUGAUGAAUCAUAGCAGGAUGUUGAUUACUACAGCAAAAAUACUGACCUAGAAUCAGAGCGAACCACAUAAACCCAUAAAUCGCCUUUUCUCUGAGAAUAAAUGUGGUUCCUUAGAUACAAGAGGGUUUUACAAACUUUUAAAAAUGACAUGCUGAAUGAGCAAUAGGAUCUUUCAAAGGCAUUCGUGAAACUAGAAACCCUGUUGUCUGGGAUUGUAAAGUCUGAUGGACCCGAUCACCCCUGCUGAGGUCCCUACCUGGAGAUAUGUGAACCAGACCCCUUCUUCGAUAGCAGAACUGAAGGAUUACUUCAUCAGGUGAAAUAGAGACACCGCAGGAGCUCGUCUGGAGUCUGUUUCACACCUGAAGACAGCUGGUACAUUGACCCCGGGAUGGGACGGGACAAUCCCAGAACCUCUGAAUUACGUCAACAAAGAACUCGGGGCCCAUGAGGGCCAUUCUAGCAAAUGGGUCCUUUUGUGUUCCUCAUUAACAUAUGAAGUGCCCCAUGAACAAUUCAUGAAAAUAAUCCUAGUGGACAGUGAAAUACAUGAACUAUGGGACGAUCUUUGAGACGAAGACGUGUUUCAAAUGGAUUUCUGCUGUCUCUUAAAGUUGGAUCCAUUCCUGUCUGCUCUUUUGAAAUCGGGGCAAUGCAAGAACAGAAUGAUGAAAUCACAGUAUUCUGCUCUUUCGAAAUGAGGUUGCAUUCAUGUGGCUACAAACCGAACGCUGUUGAUGUUGUUAUUGUGCUCGGAUCUCUCCUGCGUGUGGAGUCUGAGCUUCCUUUCGUGUUCUUUAUUUGUUUCGGCUUUUAAAUAAUGCACAGGUUCAUCAUGGAUGUGUGGUGAUUUCACACCUGCAUUAUUGCUCUUGUGCUGCAGUAAAUCUCAGUGCACUAGUAUUGCCCCAGCAUGCAACUCUAACUGUGGUUUAAACAGAGCAGACCAUCUGCAUUAUUAAUUUACUUCUUUACUGAUAUCAUGAGAGGUCACAAGAGGUCAACCACAAAAUUUAAAUUAAGUAACCACAAAACAGUCUUUGAAAUCAUUUGGCUCAAUGCAUUUCUGAUAUCUAACAAUUGAUAUAUUUUCUGAUAUUCUAAUCAUGGGUUUAGACAGCAUAAUGACCAUUUCAAUUAAUUAUCAGCUUUUAAUGAAAAUGAUUACCACUGGAUCGAACUGAUCAAUAUGUGGUUUGUUGGCCUUUCAACUCACUCUUUAAAAGUCUUUUCCAUAGAAGAUAAUAAUGUUUACCAGAGUCAUAAAUCUCACCACAUACUUUUAUGCCAAAUAAUGCAUAUUAUAAUAGAAAUGUUAUGGAACACAAAUUCAUAUUCUGUCUAAAUGUAUGCUACUUAAAGUAAUGAAUGAAUGAUUGAAUUUAUUUUAUAAAUUAAAAUACAUUUUAUAUUUAUUUAUUUCAUUUAUUUAUUUACUUAAACAUUCCGAGUUUUUAAAAAAGCUUUUCUUCUC
ensembl:lncRNA